GCCUCUGUAGACGAGUGGUCGCCUCCCGAUACACAUUGUCUUUGAAAAUGGAGGUUAAUUCGGGUCGUGAGGGUUCGACUCCCUCCGGAGGUA